AAGAAAUUUUGAGGUUUUAAGGAUUGAAAAAAAAUUAGGGGGUAAAAGUGGCCAGAAACACCGACCUUCUCUUGAUUAGGCUACAAUUUGAGCAACCAAAAUGGUAUAUGAACGUAGUUUGUGUCAUGAUUCUGAACUUCAAAGCACAAUGAUGGACAAAAUCAGCGCAGCACAAGUACCGAGUUGCGUGGCACGCCAAUAUUCAAGCAGAUAAAGAACCGUCCUGUCCUCUUUGUCUAAACACUGCCCAGCAUUAUAAGCAACUUUUACCGGCUUUAAUACACCAGUACCUAAGACAAAAAUAUCUGCUUCAUAACAAAAGACAAGACUCCACUCCACUACCUUUUGUCCCUCAGUACUUCAAAAAUGAACCGCAUGGAUUUAUAAAAUUAUGUAAGUAAAUAUAAAGUCUGCGAG